rnacentral:misc_RNA from 1 species
GUAGGUGAACCUGCGGAAGGAUCAUUAACACGUUUCGUUCCGAACGUUUUCGAUCAUUCUCAUUUUCCGUGCACAAACAUGCGUCCGGCCUCCCGAACCGCUUACUGGGUUUACUCAGUGUAGCCUGUUUGGGCGUCAAUGGGGGAUCCAAGGAGCUAAGCUUCAUGCUGACGCACCUCCUCUGCUGGCGUUGCCACAACCCAAACCCUUUAAUCUAACUGAUCUGAACUUUAGUUGGCAUUCACUUGCUAACGAUAUACAAAACAAACAACAACUCUUAACAACGGAUAUCUUGGUUCUC